UCCAGAGAUGCAGUGUGAUGGGAUUGUAUACAGUGGCUUCAAGAGGCAGCAACACAAGCCUUGUGUCCACACUGAAGUUAUUUUAGCUUCACAAUGUAUGGAAGAUAGAAGUUGUCAUGCUAUGGAACUGUGAUGGCCACAUUCAGGGUGUGUCUUCCUAGCCGUGUGAAGCCAAUCUAGGUAAUUCUUCACAGACAUCCCUGGAUACUUUUUUCGAGAAUGAUUCAAGAUACCACCAAGCUGCCAAUUGAGACCGGGCAGUAAUGUGCCUCUGAUACAGCCUUCUUCUCAGAGUGCCUUGGCAAGAUCUUGUUAACCUAGCAGAAGAUAACUUCUCAUAUUCCUCUCUGCCAUAUGAUGAGCAAAGAACGAUGACAAGGGACAGUCGGUACUGCAGAGAAGUCUCCCGAAGCCUGGCAAGGAUGUAACACAUCACCGUGACCCACCUCAGAGGAACCCCAGCCCUGCACAGAAAUCAUGGCCCGUGACCCCAAAUGGGACCCUUUGUUCUUCAGGCUUGACCUUCUUCAAUUUGUUACACUGUCCACCUUCAGUUUGUCUUAGAGGGCUUCCUUCCUGAGAAAUCCAAGCAUCCCAGCUCUGUGAGUCCAU